AGGCAUAUGCCGCUCUGUACAAGAACCAAACUAGCUCUUGCAGGUCGGAGGGGACAGCGUCUCUCUCCGAGACAGAAACACCUCCUCUGCAUCCACACAACGCACUCACGGACCUACACUGCUACACAGUCACCCAUGGCGCCGAGCAGCACCAACCGCGGCCGCCGCCGCGUGGUCCUCCUACCGCUGCCCUACCAAGGCCACAUCAACCCCAUGCUGCGCCUCGCCGCCGCCCUGUACUCCCGCGGCCUCGCCAUCACCAUCCUCCACCCGGAGACCCGCGCGCCGGACCGCCGGAAGCUCCCGGCGGACUACCGCCUGGUCACCAUCCCGGACAACAUACCGCCGGAGCUCGCCGCGUCCGAGGACAUCGCGUCGUUCGUCUUCGCGCUGAACAAGAACUGCGCAGCGCCAUUCCGGGACUACCUGGCCGGCGCCCUCAGGGCGGAGGAGGAGGGGGAGGACGGCCGCGUCGCCUUCGUGGUGGCCGACGUCGACUGGUUCGCGCCGCUCUCCGUGGCCAGGGAGCUGGGCGUGGCCGCUCUGGCCCUCAUGACCAGCAGCGCCGCCAGGUUCCUGGUGUACCAGGCGUACCCAAGUCUGUGCCGCAAGGGCUAUUUGCCCGUCCAAGAGUCAAAUUUCAACACUGCGGUUGAGGAGCUUCCCCCCUUUCUUGUACGAGACUUGGAUCGCGUGAUGGACAUGGCUCAACACCUCGCGUACGCCGAUCUUCUCGCCCACAUCGUGGCCGGCGUGAGGCAAUCAUCCGGCCUAAUAAUCAACACAUCCGAAGACAUGGAGGGCAGGGAGAUUGAGAGGAUCCGCAGCGAGAUCACCCUUCCGGUGAUCGCCGUCGGCCCUUUGCACAUGAUGACGGCGUCUUCAUCCGUCGGGAGCAGCCUACUUACAGAAGAUCGCAGCUGUUUGGACUGGUUGGACACACAACAACCAAACUCUGUGAUCUACGUGAGCUUUGGGAGCCUGGUGGGCAUCGACACAGACGAGUUCUUGGAGAUGGCCUGGGGCCUGGCCGACAGCCAGCGCCCGUUCGUGUGGGUGGUCCGGCCGGGGCUGGUGCACGGUUGCGAGUUCAGCACGCUCCCCGAAGAGCUGCAAAAGAAUAUAGGUAGCAGAGGCAGAGUAGUCAGUUGGGCUCCGCAGCAGGAGGUGCUGAAGCAUCCGUCUGUGGUCGCGUUUCUCACGCACUGCGGCUGGAACUCAACAACGGAGGGCAUAUCGGAAGGCGCGCCGAUGAUAUGCAGACCGCUGUCCAGCGAUCAGAUGGGCACUAGCAGGUAUGUGUGUGAUGUGUGGAAGGUGGGGGUUAGGUUGGAGGUGGAGAACCAGCUGAAGAGAGGGGACGUCCAGGCGGCCAUCACAAGAUUGAUGGAAGGAAAGGAAGGUGAAGAGGUCAGGGAAAGAAUGAAAGAUUUGAGGCAUGCGGUGGGGAAGUGCACUGAUGAAGGUGGGACAUCUGAUGUUGCUUUGCAACGUUUGGUGGAUUUCAGUGUUUAAGCUACCACUUAACUAUUUAGACUAUGGCUAGCAAACAUGCUCGUGCAUUGCAACAGAAGAAAUGUCUCUAGCUCAUGGACCCGUGCAAUACAACGGGACGGGAGUCAAAGGAUGCUUUUCUUUUUGCGGGGACGCUAAACAUGCUCACUAUGGCUCUUCCUCAAUCAUCAAUGCAAGAUUUCUAAAACAUCACCCUCUCAACAUCUUAUAUAUUUUUUCAGAUUUUUUCAAAACUUUAAAAUAUGGUCUCCACAAAGUUUUCAUUGAAUAUUGGUUUCCGUAUGAUAUUCUCGCGCUCCUAUAUGUACAUAUUGUCAAGUCAUCUAUAUGAGAGGGUUAGUACUUGGUAGAUAAA